GAAAAGCCAUAAAAAGGUUGUUCUAGCCUUGUACGUGUUCUCAGAUUAGACUCUCUUUGAGGUACGACUCUGAUAGUUCAGACUUUGCCAUAUUUCUGAAGAAAGUGAGGCAACAAAGUUUCACUAAACUUGAAAUGAUGUGGUUAAUAGCAUUCAUAGUCGGAUUACCUGUUUGGACAUUCCGUGUGGUAACAAGGACUUGGACACAACUUUCAUCUUGGAUUAUUGAACACUUCCAGCCAUUUUCCUGUGCGGACUGCCCCUUCGUGCAGCUAAGAAGGUUAACAAGGCAGCAAUACCAGAAGAUGCGAGACAUUCAGAUUCGCCAGAGAAUCACAGCACAGGCAACAAUUGGUAGAAUAAGACUGAUAGCGUCACAUUUCUGUACAAGUUCCAAAAUCAGCUUUGCGGAUGUUUUCAGAUUCCAUUAUAUAAUCUUCAAGGCUACGAAAGAAGUGUUAUACUUAAUAUUUCUUAGUGCCUGGUUAGAGGAAUUCCGCAUUAUAUACACUUUCUUGCGCAGACUUACAUAGAUUGCUUAUAAACUUAAUAAUAUUACAAUCACCUAAAUUUCACUUUUAUCGAAUUUUGAGAAAAAUGGAUACAAAUUAGAUGUGCAUUAAAAUUUCUAAUUAGUUGAAUCUUCUCAGCAACAUUUUAAAUCUUGAAUGCUAAUUUCUAGUUCAUAAUUAAUCUUAUAUUUUUACUUCUUUAU